rnacentral:pre_miRNA from 1 species
CUUUUGCUUGGUAGAGGUCACUGAACUUUGUAUCGUAGAAGUCCCUGACCUUUUACUUGACAGAGGUCACUGAACUCUAUCCGGCUCGAAGGACCAAU